rnacentral:lncRNA from 1 species
UCGAAAAGAAAUUGGUCAAGAAUUUUCAACUAUGUGUCGGUGUAACUGAUUGAUAGUCGAAGGCUCCAUUUGUUCCACCAACAGAGAGUAGGAUUCACCGACUAUGAAUCGGAGAGAGUAGAUUCAAUUGCCCUAAUAGUUACCCUCCACUCCCAAGUUCAAGAUACUUGACACAUGGAUUGACGUGGUUUGACAUGUUGGAUGAAGAG